rnacentral:lncRNA from 1 species
GAAGCUGCAGAAACAACACUGACCACCUAUCUCUAAGCCACUGCCGAUGUGAGAAUUGACAUAUUUUAGUUGAAAUACUUUUUUGGACUACAGACUAAUGUGAAUACUUGCCUAUUUCUACCUGAGUUACAGCAAAUGUUCUGAGAACUUAUUGCGGUCCACCAAAUAAAUUCCAUUGGAGAUAUUGUAGAUGCCUGUGUGCCUUAGAAACUUUAGAGGCCACAGGAGGCUCAGGAGUGCAAGACCAUCGUCACCCGCAAAGGAACCAUGUGCUUGGGUAGCAAGAUUAUACUUUGUUAAUAUGAUCAAUUAUUCCAGUUAAUGGAUUUUCUUAUGCAGUGCAGAUGGGAUAGAUCCUUUCAUAGUUUGUACUAGAUAUGAAGCUCCACUAGGACGUGUCGAGAAGAAUCAUCAGGUGACCACACUGUCCUUGUCUUCUGAGAGGUCCAUACCUGGGAACACCGUCACUGUGCUAGCUGCAUAAUGUAAUGUAGAAAUUUGUCAGUGUUGAGAGCUUUUGGUUGACAAAAUGCCUUUCUUCCCUUGCAUGGUAAAAUUGCUCAUUGACAUUCUCACUAAGGAGUGAAAUUUUCAGGGGUUUAUUUAUCUCAGGAGUUAAUUUUCGGGGGUUUAGGAGAUAAUUUAGUCGUAGAAUGUUUGCCUAAUAAAGUCUUGGACUUGUUCCUCA